UAGUGGUGGUGUACUUCCGCUCGCUCUUGAAUCAUGUUUCCAUCCCCCUGCCGCCGGCUGUCAAUUGACCCCUGUAAAUAAAACCAUGCAAGACACAAUAACAACAAGAAUUACAAUGGCCACAGAAGCAGACACUGGUGCUAAAACUGGCAGACGGAAAUACUCUGGGUUCCAGCUCCCCUGGCUUCCACCGACACAUCAGUAGGUGAAGCACUUGGCUCUGAAAACAAAGAUGGUACAUCAUGUACUCUUAAUAGAAAGCUUACAAGGAUAUGGAAGGUUUUUUGUAUUCAAACAAUGGAGUUCCUUUUCCUACAUCAUUUUCUGCCAUCACUCGCACAACGUAGGAUGUUCCUGGUUGAAGUUUAUAAAGUAUUGUUGAAGUCUGUGCUGAAGAAACUGUUUCUUCUUCCAGUCGAUGAGGAGUA